rnacentral:rRNA from 1 species
UACGUAGGAUCCGAGCGUUAUCCGGAAUUACUGGGCGUAAAGAGUUGCGUAGGUGGUUUGUUAAGCGAGCAGUGAAAUCUUUCGGCUCAACCGAAAGGCUAUUGCUUGAACUGGCAGACUAGAGUUUGGUAGAGGUAACUGGAAUUCCAAGUGUAGGAGUGAAAUCCGUAGAUAUUUGGAGGAACACCAAUGGCGUAGGCAGGUUACUGGCCCAACACUGACACUGAGGCACGAAAGCGUGGGGAGCAAACGGG